UGGACCAAAGACUGACGCUCAGGUGCGAAAGCGUGGGGAGCAAACAGGGAUUUAGAUACCCUGGUAGUCCACGCCGUAAACGAUGUCGACUUGGAGGUUUGUGCCUUUGAGGCCGUGGCUUCCGGAGCUAACGCGUUUAAGUCGACCGCCUGGGGAGUACGGCCGCAAGGUUAAAACUCAAAUGAAUUGACGGGGGCCCGCACAAGCGGUGGAGCAUGUGGUUAAUUCGAUGCAACGCGAAGAACCUUACCUACUCUUGACAUCCAGAGAACUUUAGCAGAGAUGCUUUGGUGCCUUCGGGAACUCUGAGACAGGUGCUGCAUGGCUGUCGUCAGCUCGUGUUGUGAAAUGUUGGGUUAAGUCCCGCAACGAGCGCAACCCUUAUCCUUUGUUGCCAGCGGUUCGGCCGGGAACUCAAAGGAGACUGCCAGUGAUAAACUGGAGGAAGGUGGGGAUGACGUCAAGUCAUCAUGGCCCUUACGAGUAGGGCUACACACGUGCUACAAUGGCGCAUACAAAGAGAAGCGACCUCGCGAGAGCAAGCGGACCUCAUAAAGUGCGUCGUAGUCCGGAUUGGAGUCUGCAACUCGACUCCAUGAAGUCGGAAUCGCUAGUAAUCGUAGAUCAGAAUGCUACGGUGAAUACGUUCCCGGGCCUUGUACACACCGCCCGUCACACCAUGGGAGUGGGUUGCAAAAGAAGUAGGUAGCUUAACCUUCGGGAGGGCGCUUACCACUUUGUGAUUCAUGACUGGGGUGAAGUCGUAACAAGGUAACCA
rnacentral:rRNA from 1 species